rnacentral:rRNA from 1 species
UUUGGCCUACGGGACGCAGCAAUGAGGAAUAUUGGUCAAUGGCCGGAAGGCUGAACCAGCCAAGCCGCGUGAAGGACGAAGGUGCCAAGCAUUGUAAACUUCUUUUGUCAAGGGACAAAAUCAGGCUCGAGAGCCUGACCGAGGGUACUUGAAGAAAAAGCAUCGGCUAACUCCGUGCCAGCAGCCGCGGUAAUACGGAGGAUGCGAGCGUUAUCCGGAUUUAUUGGGUUUAAAGGGUGCGUAGGCGGACUGGAAAGUCAGCGGUAAAAUCGAGAGGCUCAACCUCUUUCCGCCGUUGAAACUGU